rnacentral:rRNA from 1 species
AGCAGUCGCCGCGGUAAUACGAAGGGUGCAAGCGUUAAUCGGAAUUACUGGGCGUAAAGCGUGCGUAGGCGGUGAGUUAAGUCUGCUGUAAAAUCCCCGAGCUUAACUUGGGAACUGCAUUUGAAACUGGCAAGCUAGAGUCUUGUAGAGGGGGGUAGAAUUCCAGGUGUAGCGGUGAAAUGCGUGGAGAUCUGGAGGAAUACCGGUGGCGAAGGCGGCCCCCUGGACAAAGACUGACGCUCAGGUGCGAAAGCGUGGGGAGCAAACAGGAUUAGAUACCCGCGUAGUCCCUGUCUCUUAUAA